AUUUUUGGAUUCGGAGCGAGUGGCGAACUGGUGAGUAACACGUGGGUAACCUGCCCCGAAGCGGGGGAUAACAUUUGGAAACAAGUGCUAAUACCGCAUAAUUAGUUGGAACCGCAUGGUUCCAACUUGAAAGAAGGCUCUGCUAUCACUUUGGGAUGGACCCGCGCCGUAUUAGUUAGUUGGUGAGAUAAAAGCCCACCAAGACGAUGAUACGUAGCCGACCUGAGAGGGUAAUCGGCCACAUUGGGACUGAGACACGGCCCAGACUCCUACGGGAGGCAGCAGUAGGGAAUCUUCCACAAUGGACGAAAGUCUGAUGGAGCAACGCCGCGUGAGUGAUGAAGGUUUUCGGAUCGUAAAACUCUGUUGUUAAAGAAGAACAAGUGUUAGAGUAACUGUUAACACUUUGACGGUAUUUAACCAGAAAGCCACGGCUAACUACGUGCCAGCAGCCGCGGUAAUACGUAGGUGGCAAGCGUUGUCCGGAUUUAUUGGGCGUAAAGCGAGCGCA
rnacentral:rRNA from 1 species